CAGAAAGAAUCAUAGUCCACGAUCACAAAUAUGUUAUAAAAAUGGUGGUAUUUGUCUCAUGAUAAAUCAAGAAUAGUUUUUAGAGGUGCAAUUGACACAUUUUUACAUUUUAAUUGUGUUUUGGAAUGUACUACAUGGAGAGCAUAAUCUAGUGACUAACUGGGAUUGAUACUGACAGAAAGUGACAGAAAUAGAAUGAGGAAAGCUACUUACUGUCACGGUCCCGGCAAGGGACCAGAACGUGAGUGCAUGUGGGAAAAAACGAGAAAACCCGGUGCGGUGGGACGUAAGGAGGCAGGCAGGUGGGCGGCUUGGAGGCGGAGAAUCAGCAGGCACAGUGUGAUAAAUCCGUGACAACCAGGGUGGACAUACGUGAAUCUGGAGUGGAGACUGCAGGACCAGGACAGCUGGGCUGGGACUGCAGCGAGUGGACAUCAGCCGCAAGAUCAGCGAGAGCGGAGCUGAUCUGGAGAAGUGCGCGUUGCUGCUGGAGCUGCGUGUCUUGGUGAUCCUGGAUUGAAACGUGCUGCAGCUGCAGGAACUCGGUUAGCUGGCACAGCGUCUCUUGCAUGGUUGCCAUGUCUGCUGCGUCAGGAGAUGGCCCGCUCUUACUGUCACUGGGGAUGCAUUUGCAGGCAGGCUUGGAGCGAGGGGACAAGUCGUCGUACAGGGAGAGGACACUGGAAGAGCUGGAGAGGAGGGCUGGAGGCACUUGGCCAGUGAUAGGGAGGCCAGAGGAUUUUGCAGACUUUGCAUGCUGUUAACGCUUUGGAGAUAAGAUGCAUCCCAUUCCAUGGACUAGCCCAUUUCAUAC
ensembl:lncRNA